rnacentral:miRNA from 1 species
GACGGAGCCCGCUCGGUAUCG